rnacentral:tRNA from 2 species
GGCCGAGUAGUUCAACUGGAUAGAAUUUCUGACUACGGAUCAGACGGUUGAGGGUUCGAAUCCUUCCUCGGUCA